ACCUACGGGGGGCAGCAGUGGGGGAUAUUGCACAAUGGGGGGAACCCUGAUGCAGCGACGCCGCGUGGGUGAAGAAGCGCCUCGGCGCGUAAAGCCCUGUCAGCAGGGAAGAAAAUGACGGUACCUGAAGAAGAAGCCCCGGCUAACUACGUGCCAGCAGCCGCGGUAAUACGUAGGGGGCAAGCGUUAUCCGGAUUUAUUGGGUUUAAAGGGUGCGUAGGCGGAUUUCUAAGUCAGCGGUAAAAUGUCCGGGCUCAACCCGGGCCGGCCGUUGAAACUGGGGAUCUUGAGUGGGCGAGAAGUAU
rnacentral:rRNA from 1 species